AUUGAACGCUGGCGGCAUGCUUUACACAUGCAAGUCAAACGGCAGCGCGGGCUUCGGCCUGGCGGCGAGUGGCGAACGGGUGAGUAAUGCAUCGGAACGUGCCCAGUAGUGGGGGAUAGCCCGGCGAAAGCCGGAUUAAUACCGCAUACGACCUGAGGGUGAAAGCGGGGGACCGAAAGGCCUCGCGCUAUUGGAGCGGCCGAUGUCGGAUUAGCUAGUUGGUCGGGUAAAGGCUUACCAAGGCGACGAUCCGUAGCUGGUCUGAGAGGACGACCAGCCACACGGGGACUGAGACACGGCCCAGACUACUACGGGAGGCAGCAGUGGGGAAUUUUGGACAAUGGGGGCAAACCUGAUCCAGCCAUGCCGCGUGCGGGAAGAAGGCCUUCGGGUUGUAAACCGCUUUUGUUCGGGAAGAAAUCCUCUGGGCUAAUACCCCGGGGGGAUGACGGUACCGGAAGAAUAAGCACCGGCUAACUACGUG
rnacentral:rRNA from 1 species